rnacentral:rRNA from 1 species
UACAUAGGUCCCGAGCGUUGUUCGGAUUUAUUGGGCGUAAAGGGUGCGUAGGUGGCGCUGUAAGUGGGGUGUGAAAUCCCGGGGCUUAACUCCGGAACUGCAUUCCAUACUGCGGGGCUUGAGGACUGGAGAGGAGACUGGAAUUUACGGUGUAGCAGUGAAAUGCGUAGAGAUCGUGAGGAAGACCAGUGGCGAAGGCGAGUCUCUGGACAGUUCCUGACACUGAGGCGCGAAAGCUAGGGGAGCAAACGGG